rnacentral:ncRNA from 1 species
UUAAAGGCUGUGAAUGGGAGUAGUAGGCCAGCCCUCGCAGAGAGCCGGGUUAUGGUGGGAGCCUGGCAGGAGGCGCUUUCGAGGGGCGCCGGUGAAAGAUUUUCACAAAAGCUGAACUCGCCCAAGAGCCUCGCCGGUAAAGUUGCAGUAGCCGGCGACGGUGCGCUCGUUAUCGCGCCCACAAGUGGAGGAAAGAAGGUCAGAAGCGUGCCCGGCUCUGGCGCUGAGUAUCUUUCCUCAAACAGGGUGGUACCACGGAGUGACCCUUCGUCCCUAAU